GGGUUGUGAGGUUAAGCGACUAAGCGUACACGGUGGAUGCCCUGGCAGUCAGAGGCGAUGAAGGACGUGCUAAUCUGCGAAAAGCGUCGGUAAGGUGAUAUGAACCGUUACAGCCGGCGAUGUCCGAAUGGGGAAACCCAGUGCAAUUCGUUGCACUAUCGUUAACUGAAUACAUAGGUUAACGAGGCGAACCGGGGGAACUGAAACAUCUAAGUACCCCGAGGAAAAGAAAUCAACCGAGAUUCCCCCAGUAGCGGCGAGCGAACGGGGAGCAGCCCAGAGUCUGAAUCAGCUUGUGUGUUAGUGGAACGGUCUGGAAAGUCCGACGGUACAGGGUGAUAGUCCCGUACACCAAAAUGCACAGGUUGUGAACUCGAAGAGUAGGGCGGGACACGUGGUAUCCUGUCUGAAUAUGGGGGGACCAUCCUCCAAGGCUAAAUACUCCUGACUGACCGAUAGUGAACCAGUACCGUGAGGGAAAGGCGAAAAGAACCCCGGCGAGGGGAGUGAAAAAGAACCUGAAACCGUGUACGUACAAGCAGUGGGAGCACCUUCGGGUGUGACUGCGUACCUUUUGUAUAAUGGGUCAGCGACUUAUAUUCUGUAGCAAGGUUAACCGUAUAGGGGAGCCGCAGGGAAACCGAGUCUUAACUGGGCGUUAAGUUGCAGGGUAUAGACCCGAAACCCGGUGAUCUAGCCAUGGGCAGGUUGAAGGUUGGGUAACACUAACUGGAGGACCGAACCGACUAAUGUUGAAAAAUUAGCGGAUGACUUGUGGCUGGGGGUGAAAGGCCAAUCAAACCGGGAGAUAGCUGGUUCUCCCCGAAAGCUAUUUAGGUAGCGCCUCGUGAACUCAUCUUCGGGGGUAGAGCACUGUUUCGGCUAGGGGGUCAUCCCGACUUACCAACCCGAUGCAAACUACGAAUACCGAAGAAUGUUAUCACGGGAGACACACGGCGGGUGCUAACGUCCGUCGUGAAGAGGGAAACAACCCAGACCGCCAGCUAAGGUCCCAAAGUCAUGGUUAAGUGGGAAACGAUGUGGGAAGGCACAGACAGCCAGGAUGUUGGCUUAGAAGCAGCCAUCAUUUAAAGAAAGCGUAAUAGCUCACUGGUCGAGUCGGCCUGCGCGGAAGAUGUAACGGGGCUAAACCAUGCACCGAAGCUGCGGCAGCGACACUAUGUGUUGUUGGGUAGGGGAGCGUUCUGUAAGCCUGCGAAGGUGACCUGUGAGGGUUGCUGGAGGUAUCAGAAGUGCGAAUGCUGACAUAAGUAACGAUAAAGCGGGUGAAAAGCCCGCUCGCCGGAAGACCAAGGGUUCCUGUCCAACGUUAAUCGGGGCAGGGUGAGUCGACCCCUAAGGCGAGGCCGAAAGGCGUAGUCGAUGGGAAACAGGUUAAUAUUCCUGUACUUGGUGUUACUGCGAAGGGGGGACGGAGAAGGCUAUGUUAGCCGGGCGACGGUUGUCCCGGUUUAAGCAUGUAGGCUGGUUAUCCAGGCAAAUCCGGAUAAUCAAGGCUGAGGUGUGAUGACGAGGUACUACGGUGCUGAAGUAACAAAUGCCCUGCUUCCAGGAAAAGCCUCUAAGCAUCAGGUAACAUCAAAUCGUACCCCAAACCGACACAGGUGGUCAGGUAGAGAAUACCAAGGCGCUUGAGAGAACUCGGGUGAAGGAACUAGGCAAAAUGGUGCCGUAACUUCGGGAGAAGGCACGCUGGUGUGUAGGUGAAGCCCCUGCGGGUGGAGCUGAGACCAGUCGAAGAUACCAGCUGGCUGCAACUGUUUAUUAAAAACACAGCACUGUGCAAACACGAAAGUGGACGUAUACGGUGUGACGCCUGCCCGGUGCCGGAAGGUUAAUUGAUGGGGUUAUCCGUAAGGAGAAGCUCUUGAUCGAAGCCCCGGUAAACGGCGGCCGUAACUAUAACGGUCCUAAGGUAGCGAAAUUCCUUGUCGGGUAAGUUCCGACCUGCACGAAUGGCGUAAUGAUGGCCAGGCUGUCUCCACCCGAGACUCAGUGAAAUUGAACUCGCUGUGAAGAUGCAGUGUACCCGCGGCAAGACGGAAAGACCCCGUGAACCUUUACUAUAGCUUGACACUGAACAUUGAGCCUUGAUGUGUAGGAUAGGUGGGAGGCUUUGAAGCGUGGACGCCAGUCUGCGUGGAGCCAACCUUGAAAUACCACCCUUUAAUGUUUGAUGUUCUAACGUUGGCCCCUUACCGGGGUUGCGGACAGUGUCUGGUGGGUAGUUUGACUGGGGCGGUCUCCUCCCAAAGCGUAACGGAGGAGCACGAAGGUUAGCUAAUCCUGGUCGGACAUCAGGAGGUUAGUGCAAUGGCAUAAGCUAGCUUGACUGCGAGCGUGACGGCGCGAGCAGGUGCGAAAGCAGGUCAUAGUGAUCCGGUGGUUCUGAAUGGAAGGGCCAUCGCUCAACGGAUAAAAGGUACUCCGGGGAUAACAGGCUGAUACCGCCCAAGAGUUCAUAUCGACGGCGGUGUUUGGCACCUCGAUGUCGGCUCAUCACAUCCUGGGGCUGAAGUAGGUCCCAAGGGUAUGGCUGUUCGCCAUUUAAAGUGGUACGCGAGCUGGGUUUAGAACGUCGUGAGACAGUUCGGUCCCUAUCUGCCGUGGGCGCUGGAGAAUUGAGGGGGGCUGCUCCUAGUACGAGAGGACCGGAGUGGACGCAUCACUGGUGUUCGGGUUGUCAUGCCAAUGGCACUGCCCGGUAGCUAAAUGCGGAAGAGAUAAGUGCUGAAAGCAUCUAAGCACGAAACUUGCCCCGAGAUGAGUUCUCCCUGAGACUUUAAGUCUCCUGAAGGAACGUU
rnacentral:rRNA from 1 species